AUGCUUGCACUGAUAAUAUGGAAGGCAUUGAUGUGUAUCAUCGGCAGUGUAUCUCCUGUUGUUGUUGUUCUUUCUAGAAGUAUGGAACCGAGAUUCAAGCGGGGGGACAUUUUGUUCUUACACAUGAGUAAGGAACCAAUUCGCAUAGGGGAGAUUGUUGUAUUUAAUGUAGAUUCAGAAUCAUGCAGAAUUGAGGCGAAGAUAGGAAUGAGUACGUGGGAUGGAAAGGUGAAAUGUAAUAGCAAAUGUGGAUAUCCAGAGCUCACACUGAGUAUGUCAAUGGAGUUGAAAUUCUUUGGCGACCAAUUCGCUGUGAGCAGCAGCAGCAAGAGGGAGACGAUGAGGACGACUGGUACGGGAUAGAGUCAUACAGAAUGCCACUCUGCUGUAUUCUUUUCUAUGCAGCAUCCUUCUUCUUUGCUAUCGGAGCUCUCGGCACAAGAGGUUUCAGCAUUUUGGUGAUGGACAUAAUUGGGUCUAGCCUUUGGAAUGUAUGGAAUUCUCUUGGUCAAUUGUAAGAUUUUGACCAUAUGUUUCAUAGGGUGUCACCAUGUAUGGCUGCUUAUAUUGCAGUUGAGGCAAUAUCAAUUCUUGAGUAGCUCCAUAUACAAGGGUAUGUUUUUGUUUCAAGCCAGUUACUAUUGCAUUUCCACUAAGUAGAUGGUGUUGCACCACGAGCAAAAAUGAAUCAGCAACGUUCUCGGCGCUUCCGGGUUGCAAAAGAUGCAGCCGAGGCUGAAGCGGAAGAGGAAAGGCUGAGGAAAGAAUUCAUCAGUGAGGGAACACCUUUGUCUCCCAAAGAUAAGCCCGAGACUUCAGACACAAAUGUCAUUACCCCUGGUUCUAAGUUUAUGGCAGCUCUGUCAGUGGCUCUUCAGUCUUAUGUACAGACUAGAUUGAACCUCAACCCUGCCUGGAAAAAUAUAAAGGUACUACACAAUUGAAACCACAUCCUAUUAAUUCUUUUGUCACUUGAUCCCUUCAAGAUGAGAUGAUUCCUUUCUUUUGGAGUAAUCCCAUCUAUUUUCUUCUCCCUUAUACAUCUGGCUUUCAGGAUGCUCUUUCUCUAAAUAUUUAUUUAUGGGCUGCAUUGGAUGAUUAAUUAUUUGAAGGUUAUACUUUUUGAUUCAAAUGUUCCUGGUGAGGGAGAACAUAAAAUAAUGGAAUACAUCCGGUUACAACGUAAUGUUCCUGGUUUCAAUUCGAAUACUCGCCAUUGUUUGUAUGGAUUGAUGUGUUUUGUUUUGUCCUAAUUUUAAUUUUCAUAUUACCUGUCUAGGGUGCUUUUAUCUUUUCCUUGAUUUUUGCAUGAUAUUUUAUGAUCUUCAAACCAUGAUGUUGAUUUGAUAAUGCUCUCCUUAGCUACUCAUGAGAUUCACUUCUCAGUAUUGAGGGAGGUUAGUUUUCAAUGCGUGAACUGCUCAGUUGAUACUGUUAUCUCAAUAUGGAUCUGUUACAAUGUUGUUUUGUGAUGAUAUCAAUUUGACAAUAUCUAUGGUUGCCGCCACUCAUUUCAUGAUGGAAUCAUGAGAGCUACUGAUGUGAUGAUUGCUGGAAAGAUUGUGGUUGUUUGUGGUUACGGAGAUGUUGGCAAGAGUUAUGAUGCCGCCUUGAAACAAGGUGGUGUUCGUGUGAUCUUGGCUGAGAUCGAUCCAAUCUAUGCACUUCAAGCACUCAUGGACGGUCUACAAGUUCUGAUUCUUGCAGAUGUUGUCUCCGAGACUGACAUUUUCGUUACCACCACUGGUAACAAAGACAUUAUCAUGGUUAGUGACAUGAAGAAAAUGAAGAACAAUGCCAUUGUCUGCAACUUUGCUACUGGUUUUUCUGUUGGCAAACAAUUUAUGUCGUUGUAACAACGAAUUUGGCUUCUGAAGAAUUGGAAAAACUUUUUUCUAACAUGGACAUUUCAGUGGAUUCUUCUUGGAAGUUAAAGAAUGGUGUUGCAGAACAUGUGUUCAGUGGAUUUUUAGUAUGGUUGUAUAUGAGUCUAUGUAUUAAUUUGGUUCAGUUUUAAUUUGAUUUU